UGCCAGCCGCCGCGGUAAUACGGAGGGUGCAAGCGUUAAUCGGAAUUACUGGGCGUAAAGCGCGCGUAGGCGGCUUUGUAAGUCGGAUGUGAAAGCCCAGGGCUCAACCCUGGACGUGCAUUUGAAACAGCAAGGCUUGAAUACCGGAGAGGAAAGCGGAAUUCCUGGUGUAGAGGUGAAAUUCGUAGAUAUCAGGAGGAACACCGAUGGCGAAGGCAGCUUUCUGGACAGAUAUUGACGCUGAGGCGCGAAGGCGUGGGUAGCGAACAGGAUUAGAUA
rnacentral:rRNA from 1 species